rnacentral:rRNA from 1 species
CGAACGCUGGCGGCGUGCUUAACACAUGCAAGUCGAACGCGAAAGGGACUUCGGUCCUGAGUAAAGUGGCGCACGGGUGAGUAACGCGUAGAUAACCUGUCUUCAUGUCUGGAAUAAUACGCCGAAAGGGGUACUAAUACCGGAUAUUCUUGCUUUUCAUAAGUUAUGCAAGCAAAGGUGGCCUCUGCAUAUGCUACUGCAUGAAGAGGGGUCUGCGUACCAUUAGCUAGUAGGUGGGGUAAUGGCCUACCUAGGCGACGAUGGUUAGCGGGUCUGAGAGGAUGAUCCGCCACACUGGCACUGGAACACGGGCCAGACUCCUACGGGAGGCAGCAGUGAGGAAUAUUGCGCAAUGGGGGAAACCCUGACGCAGCGACGCCGCGUGAGUGAAGGAAGGCCUUCGGGUCGUAAAGCUCUGUCAAGAGGAAAGAAGUGUACAAUGGCUAAUACCUGUCGUAUUUGACGGUACCUCUAAAGGAAGCACCGGCUAACUCCGUGCCAGCAGCCGC